UUUUCAUCUCUGCUCCCAAAUUUGCCCUCAUUCAAUGAGGUUUCACUCAAUUCUUACGUAUCUUGGAGUGAUUCAAUUAAUGAUUCAAUUGAUGAGAGCAUUGAAUCGGCGUUGCUUCCCCUCCCUGUUUGGUGAAAUCCUUCAAUUCAAUGCCAAUGGAAGUGAAUCGUAACCCUAACCCUCUGAUUGACCAUCGUGAUAUAUCCUUUCGCCAAUGGAAGUCAGAUGAAAACUUUUCUGGCUGUCUACAGGUACAACGAACAUUACGCUGAACUUUGGAUGGACGUCAACCACGAGAAAGAGUGUGGGCAGUGACCAAAGGUAUUCGAUUAGGGUUUCCCAAGGAGGAAGAAAGUGGCAUGUUCUUGUUCGGUUCUUGUCCGUGACGCCAUUGCUCGAAUCCAAGAGGCGUUCUGACCAGCUGCGUCCGACAUGGCCCAGAAUUUGACAACCGGGAACAAAGCUACAGAUGAAAGUCAUUUUCGGCCAAAGGUUUAUGCCAGACUCGAAGUUGAUUUCAAUUAGAGGAGAGCAAGGUCAAGGAGGUUAAAGGAGAGGUGACCCCUAAGCAUACUAAACUGUUACACUUUGAGGAAUAAGGCAGACAAAAGGGCAUAGGCCUAUGGGACAGGGUAAGGGGUAGGAAGAUGGAAAGCUUAAGUGAUAGUUCUGCUAUAAUGAUUUGCCCUGAUUUGAGAGGAGAUCGUGUUUCGAGGGUUUCUAUCCCCUUCAUUGACCAGAUGGCAGAAUCAGGGGCACAUGUUGUUAUGGUAGUUAGAAAUACCAAGGCAGCCCAUAAACUGAUCUAAAAUGGCAGGAUGAAUGGUCUGGAAAAGAAGCUUUCCUCUCAAUAUUGAGUGAACCAUAGAAUUGCCCCUCAUGAUAGGGCUAAGCAGAAUGGACAAACUGACAGAAGAUCAAACUGAUCUGAGACCGCUAAAGCUGUGGAUAUUGAAACCGGACCUGUAAUGAGUUAUGGUAGUCAGUUGGUUUCGAUUUUGGGUUUCGGUACGCCUCACAGGUAAAGGACCGACAUCGAGAAAGGAGCUAUAACAAGGGUAAAGGCUACGUUGAUCUACAAGGUUUGCAUUACAACUUUCAAUAUCGUAAGGAUCAUGCAUAUCAACUUCUGAGGAUUCUUGCAGUCUUUUAGUUACAAGUGCAUGAGAAUUGAUAUACAUA
rnacentral:lncRNA from 1 species